UACGUAGGGUGCAAGCGUUGUCCGGAAUUAUUGGGCGUAAAGAGCUCGUAGGCGGUGUGUCACGUCGGCCGUGAAAACCUGCAGCUUAACUGUGGGCGUGCGGUCGAUACGAGCAGGCUAGAAUUCGGUAGGGGAGACUGGAAUUCCUGGUGUAGCGGUGAAAUGCGCAGAUAUCAGGAGGAACACCGGUGGCGAAGGCGGGUCUCUGGGCCGAUAUUGACGCUGGAGGAGCGAAAAGCGUUGGGGAGCGAACAGG
rnacentral:rRNA from 1 species